rnacentral:snRNA from 1 species
AAUCGCUCUCACAGCCAUU